GAACAUGAGAGUUUGAUCCUGGCUCAGAACGAACGCUGGCGGCAGGCCUAACACAUGCAAGUCGGACGAGA
rnacentral:rRNA from 1 species